AAAUGAGUUUUGCAUAAGUGUUUAUAUAAUCUAUUUAUUUAAAGAGCUUAAUACAGUUUAUGUAAAAACAAAUCUAGAUGAGUUUACCACCAUCCAUCAAGCCUAGUGGAUAAGUGAAUAACAUUUAACAAGUUAAACAAAAGUUAAUAUCCAAAAAAUUUAAAAUCAACAAAAAUAAAAACAGUGAUACAAAUGAUUUAAAAAUCAAAAAAACUAAAUUGAUAAAGGCCCGGUUUAACUACUAAAAAAACUUUGGCGGUCGUCUGGGGAGGCACGGAACAACUACAUAAAAACAGGCGAAACGGGACGAAAUGCACAGGAUGUUUACAACACAGUACAAAUUUGAUGACUAGCAUAGAUGAGGCCAAUUUUGUUGUUAAAUGGUGAGUGGUAAACGACAAGGAGUUUUAGAUUCAUUAAGCAAAAAUAGUUUUCUGAUGUAUUAUAGCAAACAUGUCAGUAUAGUGCUGCUGUUAAAAGACAAUACAAGUAUUCAGUCAGCAAGAGCAAAAAAAAUGACGUGAACAUCUAGUAGUUAAUAGCGCAAGCAAAUUUACUGAUUUGAUGCGCCCGUCUCAGCAACGUACGUCAAAAUUAAGAAAAGAAACUAUGUAGCUGGCUUAGUCUUUUAUACCUUUAGUUAGUCAAUUUAUGUGUACACGAUUCAAUAAUAGCAAUUUAAUUAGGUAGAAGGUUAGCCUAGAAAAUAUAACUUUAUUA